rnacentral:SRP_RNA from 1 species
GAAGAGCGGCUGCGGACGGGCUGCUUGCCAAUCCGGUCAGGUCCGAGAGGAAGCAGCCGCAACAAGAUUUGCCCGGGUCGCCGGUCGUUCUUCCAC